rnacentral:rRNA from 1 species
UACGUAGGGGGCAAGCGUUGUCCGGAUUCAUUGGGCGUAAAGAGCUCGUAGGCGGUUCAGCAAGUCGGGUGUGAAACCUCCAGGCUCAACCUGGAGACGCCACCCGAUACUGCUGUGACUUGAGUCCGGUAGGGGACCACGGAAUUCCUGGUGUAGCGGUGAAAUGCGCAGAUAUCAGGAGGAACACCGGUGGCGAAGGCGGCGACCUGGACAGAUACUGACACUCAACUACGAAAGCGUGGGGAGCAAACAGG